rnacentral:tRNA from 1 species
CCUGGUAGCUCAGAUGGUAAAGAAUCUGCCUGCAAUGCAGAAGACCCGGGUUUGAUCCCUGUGUCGGGA